rnacentral:lncRNA from 1 species
GAACCAGUCGGGUAGUACUACUACUGCUUGCAUUUGAAUUGCUUGAUGAAGGAGUAAGAGGAUUUGAAAAAUUGUCCAAAUUGUUAUUGAUCGACCAGGCUGUUCUCCUGUCAUUGACACCCCAAGGGCGGCCGGACAGACUAGGGUUAGGACUAGGACUAAGUAGUUAUUUUUAUCUAUCUAUAUAUUCAUUGAAAAACAAACCUGGAACGAUUCGUAGUGAUAUUUACAAGUUUCUGACAUCUGGAUGAUGAUGAUAACAUCGCAGGUAAUAUACUUUCUGCUACUCUCAGUUUCGUGAGAGAAGAACCUGCAGAUGGAAGAAGAACCCAACAUCUGUCUUCAAUUCGAGAUCAAGGGGGACACAAAAUAAAUAAAAAAAUACAUUGCCCCAAGUCUGCG